rnacentral:rRNA from 1 species
AGAGUGAACGCUGGCGGCAGGCCUAACACAUGCAAGUCGAACGGCAGCACAGAGGAGCUUGCUCCUUGGGUGGCGAGUGGCGGACGGGUGAGGAAUACGUCGGAAUCUGCCUAUUUGUGGGGGAUAACGUAGGGAAACUUACGCUAAUACCGCAUACGACCUACGGGUGAAAGCGGAGGACCUUCGGGCUUCGCGCAGAUAGAUGGGCCGACGUCGGAUUAGCUAGUUGGCGGGGUAAAGCCCACCAAGGCGACGAUCCGUAGCUGGUCUGAGAGGAUGAUCAGCCACACUGGAACUGAGACACGGGUCCCCAGUCCUACGGAGGCG